rnacentral:rRNA from 1 species
GACUCUCGGCAACGGAUAUCUCGGCUCACGCAUCGAUGAAGAACGUAGCAAAAUGCGAUACUUGGUGUGAAUUGCAGAAUCCCGUGAACCAUCGAGUUUUUGAACGCAAGUUGCGCCCAAAGCCAUCCGGUUGAGGGCACGCCUGCCUGGGCGUCACGCAUCGC